GACGAACGCUGGCGGCGUGCUUAACACAUGCAAGUCGAGCGGUAAGGCCCUUUCGGGGUACACGAGCGGCGAACGGGUGAGUAACACGUGGGUGACCUGCCCUUAGCUCUGGGAUAAGCCUGGGAAACUGGGUCUAAUACCGGAUAUGACUCCAUGACGCAUGUUGGUGGGGUGGAAAGCCUUGUGCGGCUAGGGAUGGGCCCGCGGCCUAUCAGCUUGUUGGUGGGGUGAUGGCCUACCAAGGCGACGACGGGUAGCCGGCCUGAGAGGGCGACCGGCCACACUGGGACUGAGACACGGCCCAGACUCCUACGGGAGGCAGCAGUGGGGAAUCUUGCGCAAUGGGCGAAAGCCUGACGCAGCGACGCCGCGUGGGGAUGACGGCCU
rnacentral:rRNA from 1 species